rnacentral:tRNA from 1 species
GGGCUUAUAGCGCAGUGGUAGCGCGCACGCUUUGCAUUAUGUAGUCGCGGCUGUGUGAGGUCCGGGGUUCAAUCCCCCGUGAGUCCA